GACAGAGGUGGCAAGCGUUGUUCGGAAUCACUGGGCUUAAAGGGCGCGUAGGCGGUAUUGCAAGUGUGUGGUGGAAUCUCACGGCUUAACCGUGGAACUGCCAUGCAGACUGCGGUACUUGAGUUAUCGAGGGGAAAGCGGAAUUCCAGGUGUAGCGGUGAAAUGCGUAGAUAUCUGGAGGAAGGCCUGUGGCGAAGGCGGCUUUCUGGCGAUCAACUGACGCUGAGGCGCGAAAGCGUGGGGAG
rnacentral:rRNA from 1 species